ensembl:miRNA predicted gene, 44323
CCUCUGUUCGGCUGCGGUUGGCGAUGUCCUCGUACUGGGCCUUGACCUCAGCGAUGAUGCUGUCCAGGUCGAGGUUGCGGUUGUUGUCCAUGGACAGGACCACAGAGGUGUCAGAGACGUGUGUCUGCA